CAGGUGCUGUCCCUGCCCUAGGUGUGCCAAGGAACAGAGGCAAGCGGGUAUCUUCGGGCCAGCCUCUGGAGUCAAAUCAAGAUUUGAGGUACCGUGAGGAGGCUUGUAGGCGAAGUUUGGAAACGGCUGCACCGAAGCACACGUCUUGAUGUCCACAUCCAAC